GAGACGCCAGCUGCUCCUGCAGAGUCCAGAAACAGAUACACAGCAGAGUCUUCAGGAUACAGCAGGUUGUCUCUGAAGAGUGACCGGUCCAGAGGUUGGCUACCAAACUUCAGAGGUGAACCUGGACCUUCAGACACAAAAGAGAAGAAGAGCAGUGAUGUCUGUGAGGAGCAGCAGGACCAGGGUUCUUCAUCAG